rnacentral:rRNA from 1 species
GGGGAUCUUACUAGGUCCGGACCGAUUCUAUGAUCGUCGUACUGUGGGGUGCUACGUGAUUACUGGAUGAGUGGUGCAUGGCCGUUCUUAGUUCGUGGUGUUAAUUGUCUACUUAAUUGUUAUCGGUUCUCGUAUCAUGCGAGACCUGAUAACGAACGAGAUCGAGACCCGUGGUUGCGUGUGUUUGAAUUCGGUAUUACUACGGGGAUCGCGUAUUACUCCACGGUACGAUCGAAAGACUCGGCAAUAACAGGUCUGUGAUGCCCUCAGAUGUUCUAGGCUGCACACGUGCUACAGUGUGGUUCUGUUCAUAUGUGUAUGCGUAGA